CCAAAAUAUCCUUUAUAGGGGGCAGGUGGGUCCCACUCCUGGAGCUCAUCCUCAUUAACAGGCUAAUUAACGAUGCUAAUAGGGACUGGGGGGGCGGGCAGCUUCCCAGCAGCAACUGCGGGAUGCUACGGGUACCAAUCCAGGAAUAAAUUUAUAAUAAAUCUAUUUGAAGGUGGGAUUAAUAUCUAUAUUUAUGAUAAAUUUAUGCAAAGGUGGGGAUUAGUAUCUAUAUUUAUGAUAAAUUUGAGGGUGGGGAUCAAUAUUUCUAUCUAAUCUUUACACUAAAUUCACUCUAAGGUGGGGAUCAAUAUUUAACAUAUACAUUUAUUCGAAGGUGAGGAUUAAUAUUUAUAUUUAAUAUUUGCAAUAUAUUUAUUCUAAGGCGAGGAUUAACAUUUAUAUUUAGUAUUUACAAUAAGUUCAUUCUAAAGGGGGGAUUAACAUUCGUAUUUAAUAUUUACAAUAAGUUCACUCUAAUCAAUAUUUAAUAUAUACAUUUAUUCGAAGGUGAGGAUUAAUAUUUUUAUUUAAUAUUUACAUUUAUCCUAAGGUGAGGAUUCAUAUUUAUAUUUAGUAUUCACAAUAAGUUCAUUCUAAAGUGGGGAUUAAUAUUUGUAUUUAAUAUUUACAAUAAGUUCACUCUAAGGUGGGGAUCAAUAUUUAAUCUAUACAUUUAUUCUAAGGUGAAGAUUAAUAUUUUUACUUAAUAUUUACAAUAUAUUUAUUCUAAGGGGAGGAUUCCUAUUUAUAUUUAGUAUUUACAAUAAGUUCACUCUAAAGGGGGAUUAACAUUUAAUCUAUACAUUUAUUCUAAGGCGAAGAUUAAUAUUUAACAUUUAUAAUAUUUAUUCUAAGGUGAGGAUUAAUAUUAACAUUUAAUAUUUACAAUGUAUUUAUUCCAAGGUGAGGAUUAACAUUUCUAUUUACUAUUUACAAUCAGUUUGUUCUAAGGUGGGGAUUAGUAUUUCUACUUAAUAUUUACGAUCCAUUUAUCCUAAGGUGGCGAUUAAAGGGGGUAGGAGGGGGGGUGGGGGAUGGGGCAACCCCCCUGACCCGGCACCCAGGAGAGGGACCCAUCCCUCAGCCCCCAGCGUGGUUCGUUAACGAGGGAAGCUAAUUAGGGGGCGCGUGGGCACUGGCCACAGCAGCCGUGGCUACGACAGACGAUUUAUUAGGAUUUUGCUGCUCCUACAGCUUUCCCCGACCCCCCCCCCCCAGUGCCGCGAGCCGGGGCGGGGGGAUGUCAGCCCCGGGGGUCCGGUUAGCACCAGCAGAAAGGUGUGUCGUCCCCCCCCUCCCCCAUCCCACAAAGCUCUACCCUCCCCCUACAACAAACCAGCAGCUAAACCCACCCCAAAAUAGCAUUUUUCCCCAGUUUCACCAGUUCAGACCACCCACGCUCCAGUCACGCCGAUCCGCCCCCCCCCCCCC